CUAUUCUUCCCAUUUCUGCAGCCUGCCCACCAACUGGAGGACUGGCCCAGUGUGGUGAAUGAACAUAAGUACAACAAAACGCAUGGACUGUGUGAGUAGAGGAAUUUCCAGGAUACUGAGAGAUGAACUCCAAAUAGAAAUUUUCCAAGCUCUGUUCACAAUUAAUCAGUCUGGCCUGAAAAACAGGGAAAAAAGUGCCUGGCCCAAGGUCACCCAUUAGCUGAAUGGAGAUUUGAAUUUAGUUGUCUCAGAUGCAAAUGGAUGCUGCAACCACCACAACAAACUGGCUCUUAUUCCACUAUAUUAAGGAACAAGAAGACAGACAAGACAGUAUUUGCUACAGGGUAAUUGUGAUAGUGAUGUCUCUGAUUAAGCCAAUAGAUUGUUAUUGAAACAUAUCUGCUUUUUCAGUAGGAGGAAUUUAAGAUUAGAAGCUGAGCGGUGCCUUGCCCAAGGGCAUUCAGUGGGUUUCCAUGGCCAAACUGUAAUAUGAACCCUGGUCUCAUGGAGUCUUAGUCUAGCACUCAGACCAGACCACGACACUGACUCUUGUACUUAAUCAUGUUUGUGUGCAUGCGCCUCCAAGUUGCCUGUCGACUUACGGUGUCCCCAUGAAUUUCGCAGGGCUGCAGGACUACAAAUCCAAUAGUGUACUUGGAACAUCUGAAAGCAUACAUGCGUGCGCACACUGCAAACAAUAAUAGCAGCAAUAAAAACACAAACAC
rnacentral:lncRNA from 11 species